ACUUCAUGUUUUGCAGACGAAGAUCAGCUCUAGAAACCCUAGGAACAACAGACCUGCACGUUAGCAUUGCUUCAUUAUGUAUUGCCUUUCAGAGGCAUGUGGCUUCUCUCCCUCUGGUCCACUGACAUCUGCAGCAAAAAGUCUUGCUCUGGCCAUUGAGCAGCAUCAAAUAGUUCAUGGGACCAGCUCUAGCCGGGAUGCUGCCAGCUUUGACUGAUGCCCUGCUGCUGUCUCCUGCGUUCCUGCAAGAAGUUCCUCUCUGCCAGUUCCCCAUCCUCUCCCAGAUCACACGACUGAGAGCCUGGAGAGUUUAAGGCUAUAAAUCAGCCGUCCCUGAGAAGUCUGCAAUUACGAGUGAGUUCUUGUAUAAGGAAGCUAAGCAGCUUGUA
rnacentral:lncRNA from 1 species